UCUCCGUUGGUGAACCAGCGGAGGGAUCAUUACCGAGUUUUUCUACUCCCAAACCUCUGUGAACUUAUACCGUUACUGUUUCUUCUGCGGGUUAACGCCCCGGUAGGCCCAACCACCCUCCGGAACCAGGCGCCCGCCGGGGGACCCAGCCUCUUGUUCUUCUUACUCUGCUUGUCCGUUUGGAAUCAUAACCAAAUGAAACAACACUUUCAACAACGGACCACUUGGUUCUGCCAACCAUGAAGAACGCAGCAGGUCGGACGACCCCACGUCUGAACA
rnacentral:misc_RNA from 1 species